UUGUAUAAGAGAUGUUGUAGGUGUUGUGAAUGGGGAUAGAGUACGUUAUCAUCAGUAUAUUAGAGUUGUAUAAGAGAUGUUGUAGGUGUUGUGAAUGGGUAUAGAGUACGUUAUCAUCGGUAUAUUAGAGUUGUAUAAGAGAUGUUGUAGGUAUUGUGAAUGGGGAUAGAGUACGUUAUCAUCGGUAUAUUAGAGUUGUAUAAGAGAUGUUGUAGGUGUUGUGAAUGGGUAUAGAGUACGUUAUCAUCGGUAUAUUAGAGUUGUAUAAGAGAUGUUGUAGGUGUUGUGAAUGGGUAUAGAGUACGUUAUCAUCGAUAUAUUAGAGCUGUAUAAGAGAUGUUGUAGGUGUUAUGAAUGGGGAUAGAGUACGUUAUCAUCGGUAUAUUAGAGUUGUAUAAGAGAUGUUGUAGGUGUUGUGAAUGGGGAUAGAGUACGUUAUCAUCGGUAUAUUAGAGUUGUAUAACAGAUGUUGUAGGUGUUGUGAAUGGGUAUAGAGUACGUUAUCAUCGGUAUAUUGGAGUUGUAUAAGAGAUGUUGUAGGUGUUGUGAAUGGGGAUAGAGUACGUUAUCAUCGGUAUAUUAGAGUUGUAUAAGAGAUGUUGUAGGUGUUGUGAAUGGGGAUAGAGUACGUUAUCAUCGGUAUAUUAGAGUUGUAUAAGAGAUGUUGGUGUUUUGAAUGGGGAUAGAGUACGUUAUUAUUGGUAUAUUAGAGUUGUAUAAGAGAUGUUGUAGGUAUUGUGAAUGGGGAUAGAGUACGUUAUCAUCGGUAUAUUAGAGUUGUAUAAGAGAUGUUGGUGUUUUGAAUGGGUAUAGAGUACGUUAUCAUGGGUAUAUUAGAAACGUUGGGAUUGUAUGAUGAUGUUGUUGUUAUUAUUAUUAUUAUUAUUAUUAUUAUUAUUAUUAUUAUUAUUAUUAUUAUUGAGAGGCUGGGUGGCCAUCUGUUGGGAGUGCUUGGAUUGUGUCCUGCAUGUCAGAUGGUGGGAGGUAUUAGCUGGCCGUGAUUGUUUAGUGUCUGGCAUUCCUGUGUUUUAAGAGUGUUGUUUUUUAUUUGGUGUUGUGAUUUUAAGCUUGUUAAAAUAUUAGGAGUCAGAUAGUGUUGAUUGUCAUGGUUGAUAGCAUAUAUUUAAAAUAUUGAGUGUUAAAAUGGGUUGGAUAGUGUAGAAGGGAGAGUAUAUGGAGAGAAAUAAUUCGGAUGAUGGGUGGGCGCUAGGACCCAGGGGACAGCUUUUUCCCUUUGCCUGCCUUUCCUCUUGCCGCGGCGGCCAUUAUGUUUUUUCUUUUCCUCCCUCCCGGCAUGGCUACCAAUGGGGCUUUGUGAGUUCUCUCCAUGUGGAGCUCCGUGAAAUGCCAAAUUGUGAAUACAGAAGGCAAUCAGCUACAUACCAAGUCGCACAGCUGCUGAUAAAUGAAAUGCAAGUUAUAGUCAAGAAACUGGAAGAAACCCAAAACUUGGAAAAAUAGCUGUGAAGAAGGAUCCUCCAGUCCAAAAAUACAUCAUGAAAUGACCAAAGUCAAAAUCACCCUUGUUGUAGGAUUUCCCAUUUCUAUGUAAAGUUGUAAGAGUUGGACAAGGAAAAUGGUCACAGGAAGAAAAUCAACUCAUUUGUAAUAUGGACCUGGAUAAGAGUGGGACAAAUACUAAAUGGAUCUCAGAGCAAAUGAGUAGUUGAUUUUAUUAUGGUUUCAUUACGGUUAUGGUUUCAUGAUGAAACCAAGGCUAGCAUGCUUUGGAUGUAUCAUGAAGCCACAUGCCUCAUCAGAAAAGAUAUUAAGCCUGUGCAGUUCUGGUUCUCAAAUCUUCUUUGUUUCCAGAUGAUUAUUACUAUAUAGUAUAAAGUCCCAAUGUGGCUGGAUUCUAUAUAUCUUUAAACUUACAUAAAUACAAUGCCAACAU